CUGGCCAGGGGGAGGAUCUGAUUCUGUCUCUGUCUCUCUCUGGGGGUUGACUGAUCCAAGGAGGCAAGCCUGACUGAAGGGGGAAGAAGCUGAGAACUAAUAUUAUUAACUUCUGUCCCAGGCUGAAGGACCCUUGAGGGAGGCUUCUGAAAUUAGGCUGAGAGACCUUGGUGGCUUUGUGAAGAAGAAAGAAAGAAUAACAGUUGUCCUCCAUCUCUCUGAUUGUACCUCUGUCACAGUUGUGAUUGGACUGGUUUCCCAAACCCACAAAUUCUCCUUAUAGAUUAGGGAAACCUUCAUCCCUCUUUCCUCAGUUCCCUAUCCUAAUGUUUCCCAAUAAACCCCUUACCUGAGAAAGAAAACAAGAGUAUCUUCAUAGUACACUCAGAGGGGAGGGGUGAAGCCAUAAGCUUCAAGAAGAAACUGGGAGGGAGAGGCUGGAAGAAGGGGGUAAGGGAGUGUGUGGGAUUUGGGAGUGAAGAGAGGAGGAGGUUAGGAAAUAGAUUGAUCUAUAAGCCAUCAAAUAGUGAUCAGUAGGCAAACCCCAGUGCAUUCCCCUGUGGCAGCAUCCCUCUAUCUCUAGCAGCAGCUUUCAGUGUUUCUCAAAGUACUUCUAUCCCGAUUGUAACUAAGAAAUCCUCAGGAUGUCCCCUACCAGCAGCUCUCUCUAGUCUCAAGCCAGAGUACAUCAGUUACAACAAGAAAUAGUCACGCAGAUUAUCUUUUCUAUUACACAGAUCAACUCAACUAAGACCUAAUUAUUAUCUCUGGAUCUAGAAGGUAUCCCUAGGGCAGUAGUCAUAAGAAGAAUUUAAUUAGGUGAGGGCAGGAAAGUGAUAUUAGAUUUUGGGAGAACUAUCCAGAAAAACCACAAGCAAAAAAGAGAAGGAAGAUAUAAUGUAUUUGCCCAAGUGAUAUCCCAUCUGGCUCAGCAUCCAGUAUCUAUGAAGAGAAGCAAUCUUUAUGAGGACAGUCAAGGCUCUUCUGACCUGGUAAUGAAUAAAGAGCAAAUGGAACAGAGGAGGACCAAGGAACACAAGCAAAAACACAGAAAUUCCAGCGAAUUGGACACACAGGCUUUGGAAGAACUCAAAACGCAAUUUAAAAAACAAAAAAUGGACUGCAGAAGUGGAAUACAGAAGUGAAAGAGUGUCAAGGAAUUGAAACUCAGGAUGAAUGAGAUGGUAAUGAUCUACCUAGCUUCCCUCCAUGAGUUCAAAUCAUCAAUUCCAGAAUGUAUUCCAGGACAAUAAAGGAUGCUGUCCUCAGAUAUUUUCUUUGAAAACAAAAUCCAUAAGAGGUGACGAUUCAUUAACAGAAGAAGAGGGGGACUAUCACAAACAUCCAAAAUAGCAGUAAAAU